GGAGGUGUGGCUUGAGUGGUAAAACAUCAGCCUGGCAAGUAUAAGGCCCUAAAUUCAAAUCUCAGUACUUCCA
rnacentral:tRNA from 1 species